CAGCAGCCGCGGUAAUACGAAGGGUGCAAGCGUUACUCGGAAUUACUGGGCGUAAAGCGUGCGUAGGUGGUGGUUUAAGUCCGUUGUGAAAGCCCUGGGCUCAACCUGGGAAUUGCAGUGGAUACUGGGUCACUAGAGUGUGGUAGAGGAUAGUGGAAUUUCCGGUGUAGCAGUGAAAUGCGUAGAGAUCGGAAGGAACAUCUGUGGCGAAGGCGACUAUCUGGGCCAACACUGACACUGAGGCACGAAAGCGUGGGGAGCAAACAGGAUUAGAUACCCGUGUAGUCCAUGUCUCUUAUAC
rnacentral:rRNA from 1 species